rnacentral:rRNA from 1 species
AUCUUCUGUAGGUGAACCUGCGGAAGGAUCAUUG